rnacentral:rRNA from 1 species
AACGAACGCUGGCGGCGUGCCUAAGACAUGCAAGUCGUACGGAAAGGCCCUCUUCGGAGGGCACUCGAGUGGCGCACGGGUGAGUAACGCGUGGGCAAUCUACCUUAGGGUCUGGGACAACCCCGGGAAACUGGGGCUAAUACUGGAUAAGACCACGAGCUCUUCGGAGCUUGCGGGAAAAGAUGGCCUCUCCUUGGAAGCUAUCGCCCUUCGAUGAGCCCGCGUCCCAUUAGCUAGUUGGUGAGGUGACGGCUCACCAAGGCUUUGAUGGGUAGCUGGUCUGAGAGGAUGAUCAGCCACACUGGAACUGAGACACGGUCCAGACUCCCACGGGAGGCAGCAGUCGGGAAUUUUGGGCAAUGGGCGAAAGCCUGACCCAGCAACGCCGCGUGAGGGAUGAAGGCCCUCGGGUCGUAAACCUCUGUCGGGAGGGAAGAACGGUUCACGUUCAAAUAGGACGGGAGCCUGACGGUACCUCCAAAGGAAGCACCGGCUAACUCCGUGCCAGCAGCCGAC